rfam:Bacillus atrophaeus 1942, complete genome.
UACCUUUUUAAAUGCAAUCCAGUGAGUUUGCAAAGAGGUUUAAACAAAGCCGAACGACGAAUGCGGCCGGCUUUGUAUACCUCUUUGCGCAAAAAAAGCAAAGAGGUUUUUUAAU